GACAGAGGUGCCGAGCGUUAGGCGGAAUCACUGGGCUUAAAGCGUGUGUAGGCGGAUGCCUAAGUACCUUGUGAAAUCCCACGGCUCAACCGUGGAACUGCUGGGUAUACUGGGCGUCUUGAGCCAACUAGGGGCGACCGGAACAAACGGUGGAGCGGUGAAAUGCGUAGAUAUCGUUUGGAACGCCGAUGGUGAAAACAGGUCGCUGGGGUUGUGCUGACGCUGAGACACGAAAGCCAGGGGAGCGAACGGG
rnacentral:rRNA from 1 species